rnacentral:lncRNA from 1 species
AUGGACCCUACUCUGGAUUUCGAGGAAGAGGAAGAUGAAUAUGACAAAUUUGGGCGAUUUAUGGUUAUGUGUUCUUAUACUCAAUAGUUCUUCAAUUUGUUUUUGUGCUUUUUGUUUAUCAAAUUUGAUGUGAUUGGUAAUUAAAUUUAAUUCAGAUUUACCAUUUGCUUGUUUCUGGGAUGUGAGAGUUGUUCUGGUUUUUCUUGGUUUUGUUUGAGGUUACAGAUAGUGAUAAUCGUAGGGCUCUAUACACGAGUCACCAACAGGAGCCUAAAAACAGUAGACGUUUCAGAGCAUUUCUUGUCUUUGUUUAUUAAUCUAUCAUCAGAAAAUACAAUAUUGUUCUAUACAUGGACCAUAAUUUUAGCAUUUCUAAAUCAGCAAAUAGAUUAGUACAUUACUGAUAUCUAGCCAUACAAACUUAGCAUUACUAUACUAUGGCAAAGAAAGUUACACUCCACUGAAGCGCAGUGGCUAGAUUUGUUUGGCCAUGACUAUGACUGAAAUGAACUCUAUAAGCUUCAUGUUACAAUAUGCAGUACUCAAAAUGACAAUGAAUAUGCAAAUUGAAAUGUGGUACUCUGGGUUUAUGAAGCUCUUUUAUUCUGCAUCUAUAUAGUGUAAUCUGUAAUCAUCUAGAAAUUUAGAAUGGGAAGAGUUUAAUCUUCAUUUUUGAAUAUUUUCUCUGGCUUUGAUCGAAAGUAUACAUGGAUAUGUACAUCUAGUUUACAGAUUGGGAGAUACUCUUCCAAUGUUAUCUGGCUUAGCCAUGGAUGUUCACAUAAUCAAUGAUUAAUAUACUUAUGUUCAAAUUGAUUAGUCUCAUAUCAGAUCAUCACUUGUUGCAUACUUCCCCAGUUUAGUGCUUCUUCAUUUUUUUUUUUUUGAAAAUGGUAUAGUGCUUUUUCAUAGUAUUCUCCAGAUCAUGAUAACUU